rnacentral:rRNA from 1 species
CGAGCACGCGCGUGUGGCAUAUCAAUAAGCGGAGGAAAAGAAACUAACAAGGAUUCCCUUAGUAACGGCGAGUGAAGCGGGAAGAGCUCAAAUUUGAAAUCUUAAAGGGUUUCCCUUUACGAAUUGUAGUUUAAAGAAGUGUUUUCUGUUGAGGUUUUGGUAAAAGUUCUUUGGAAUAGGACAUCAUAGAGGGUGAGAAUCCCGUAUUUGACCUUUACUUUCAACUUUGUGAUACACUUUCAAAGAGUCGGAUUGUUUGGGAAUGCAGUCCAAAAUGGGUGGUAAAUUUCAUCUAAAGCUAAAUAUUGGCGAGAGACCGAUAGCGAACAAGUACCGUGAGGGAAAGAUGAAGAGAACUUUGAAAAGAGAGUUAAACAGUACGUGAAAUUGUCAAAAGGGAAGCGUUUGACACCAGUGUUGUUUUUCUGAAAAUCAAUUAAAGAACUGUUUAUGCUAAGUUGUUUAGACUUUAUCAGCUAACUGUUUAGUUUUGAGCUUUUCUUUAAUGCACUUUUCAGUUAACAAGUCAACAUCAAUUUCUUUUGCUGUAAAAAGCUUGAGGAAGGUGGCUUGAGAUUCGUCUUAAGUGUUUAUAGCCUCUUGCCUAUGCAGUCGGAGAGAUUGAGGUCUGCAGCGUAGAUCCUUCGGGGCUAAAUGCAUUUGUGCUAAGUUAUAGCAUUUUAUAGACAACUUGUUGACUAUGAUUUGUCUUGUAGCUUACUCGCUUAUGUUAUUUUACCUACGCUUAGGAUGUUGAAGAUGUAGCACAUCAU